rnacentral:rRNA from 1 species
GACGAACGCUGGCGGCGUGCCUAAUACAUGCAAGUCGAACGCUUCUUUCCUCCCGAGUGCUUGCACUCAAUUGGAAAGAGGAGUGGCGGACGGGUGAGUAACACGUGGGUAACCUACCCAUCAGAGGGGGAUAACACUUGGAAACAGGUGCUAAUACCGCAUAACAGUUUAUGCCGCAUGGCAUAAGAGUGAAAGGCGCUUUCGGGUGUCGCUGAUGGAUGGACCCGCGGUGCAUUAGCUAGUUGGUGAGGUAACGGCUCACCAAGGCCACGAUGCAUAGCCGACCUGAGAGGGUGAUCGGCCACACUGGGACUGAGACACGGCCCAGACUCCUACGGGAGGCAGCAGUAGGGAAUCUUCGGCAAUGGACGAAAGUCUGACCGAGCAACGCCGCGUGAGUGAAGAAGGUUUUCGGAUCGUAAAACUCUGUUGUUAGAGAAGAACAAGGACGUUAGUAACUGAACGUCCCCUGACGGUAUCCAACCAGAAAGCCACGGCUAACUACGUG